rnacentral:rRNA from 1 species
UACGUAGGGUGCGAGCGUUAAUCGGAAUUACUGGGCGUAAAGCGUGCGCAGGCGGUUUUGUAAGUCUGACGUGAAAUCCCCGGGCUUAACCUGGGAACUGCAUUGGUGACUGCAUUGCUGGAGUAUGGCAGAGGGGGGUGGAAUUCCACGUGUAGCAGUGAAAUGCGUAGAGAUGUGGAGGAACACCGAUGGCGAAGGCAGCCCCCUGGGCCAAUACUGACGCUCAUGCACGAAAGCGUGGGGAGCAAACAGG